UCAUUUGCAGAAGCCAUUGGGCUGUGAAAUCCUUUAUGGAGCUGAGCCUAUAUAUUUGUACCCGCACAUAGUAUACUUUUACUUCAGUUGACUUAUUUAUAUUUUUUUAACAAAAAUUAAAUGCUGUCUUCCCAACAUCUGUCAAAAGCAGCUUAAAACACAUCUAUAAUAAUUAAAUUCAUAUUUAGGAAAAAUUACAUAUUCAGCCAAUUAAAAAUAUCUAUCCUUCUAGCAGAUGCCAAUUGGUGUUACAUUUCUGAUCAAUUUUAGACAGAGUCAAUACAUUGCCAAGCACACCCCCAGUCUCUGAGUAGUGAAUUUUUUCAUGGGAGCUUGCAAGUGCCUUGGGUUUAGUUUCUAUAGUAUGAAGGCUGGUAGUGAUUGUAGUGUUUCUGUGAUAUGGUUUUGUUUAGCGCGCGCGCACACACACACACACACACUGUAGACUGAGCAUAAUAUGGAAGGGCUCUCAACAUUAACAAAGCCAACAGAUCUUACUAUUCUCCCAUUAGGUUUCUAGGGGAGCUUUCAGACUCUUAGUACUAGAUCCUCACAGAGAGAGAAAUCAAGUCUCUCUGUCUUUCCAACUCCCAGUUACUAGCCUGACUGGUUCUUUUGUUCUUCUGCACACUCAGUCCCACACCUUGAUGGCAUCACCUCCAGCCAGGUGAGAGAGGGGAGAAUACCUUCCUGCCUAAGCUCACCUCCUGGAAAGAUUUCCAGCUAUUUUCUGCGGAACAGUUUAGCCCAAGCAUAACAUAACAACAUCUGAUACUUCACAGACUUGGCUAUAGCUAUUAACACAGAACAUAGAACAUAGAAUCAUAGAGUUGGAAGAGACCACAAGGGCCAUCGAGUCCAACCCCGUGCCAAGCAGGAAACACCAUCAGAGCACUCCUGACAUAUGGUUGUCAAACCUCUGCUUAAAGACCUCCAAAGAAGGAGAUUCCACCACACUCCUUGGCAGCAAAUUCCACUGUCGAACAGCUCUUACUGUCAGGAAGUUCUUCCUAAUGUUUAGGUGGAAUCUUCUUUCUUGUAGUUUGGAUCCAUUGCUCUGUGUCCGCUUCUCUGGAGCAGCAGAAAACAACCUUUCUCCCUCCUCUAUGUGACAUCCUUUUAUAUAUUUGAACAUGGCUAUCAUAUCACCCCUUAACCUCCUCUUCUCCAGGCUAAACAUGCCCAGCUCCCUUAGCCGUUCCUCAUAAGGCAUCAUUUCCAGGCCUUUGACCAUUUUGGUUGCCCUCCUCUGGACACGGUCCAGUUUGUCAGUGUGCUUCUUGAACUGUGGUGCCCAGAACUGGACACAGUACUCCAGGUGAGGUCUGACCAGAGCAGAAUACAGUGGCACUAUUACUUCCCUUGAUCUAGAUGCUAUACUCCUAUUGAUGCAGCCCAGAAUUGCAUUGGCUUUUUUAGCUGCCGCAUCGCACUGUUGGCUCAUGUCAAGUUUGUGGUCAACCAAGACUCCUAGAUCCUUUUCACAUGUACUGCUCUCAAGCCAGGUGUCACCCAUCUUGUAUUUGUGCCUCUCAUUUUUUUUUGCCCAAGUGCAAUACUUUACAUUUCUCCCUGUUAAAAUUCAUCUUGUUUGUUUUUGCCCAGUUCUCUAAUCUGUCAAGGUCGUUUUGAAGUGUGAUCCUGUCCUCUGGGGUGUUAGCCACCCCUCCCAGUUUGGUGUCAUCUGCAAAUUUGAUCAGGAUGCCCUUGAGUCCAUCAUCCAAGUCGUUGAUAAAGAUGUUGAAUAAGACCGGGCCCAAGACAGAACCCUGUGGCACCCCACUAGUCACUCUUCUCCAGGAUGAAGAGGAACCAUUGAUGAGCACCCUUUGGGUUCGGUCAGUCAGCCAGUUACAAAUCCACUGAGUGGUAGCAUAGUCAAGACCGCAUUUUACCAGCUUCUUUACAAGAAUAUCAUGGGGCACCUUGUCAAAUGCCUUGCUGAAAUCAAGGUAGGCUACAUCCACUGCGUUCCCUUCAUCUACGUCACAGACAGACUGGUUCAACCACUUUUCACGGUCUCUUUUUCUGCAGAAUCCACUCUUGCAGCAGCUACAAGAUCACAGGAAUGGAGGGGAAUCCUGAGAGCACAACCAAACUAACCCCUAGUCAUAGAAUCAUAAAUAUGUAGAGUUGGGAGGGAUCCCAAGGGUGAUCGAAUCCAACCCCCUGCUGUGAAGGGACCUCAACUAAACCAUACAUGACUAGUGGCCAUCCAACUUCUGCUUAAAAACCUACAGCAACUUUAAAAAAAAACUCAAAACCUACACCACAUCUUUUUUGCUGGGUUAAGAUGGAUUUCAAGGUCUUAGGUUAAAUAUUUUUCUGUGGGGAAAAUACUGGUGUUAAACGCACCAAGUAAUUGUAAUGUUCAAAGCUGCCUCUUAACACUCCAGCUGUGCACUGCAUCAAAUGAAUUGACAUGGGGAAAACAGGAGACAUUCACAGAAUAUUUAGGUCUGGGAACAUGAAUUCUGUUGCCCACCAAAAAAAAGGCAAAAAGCUGAUGUACUCAUUUCUCCUGUCCAGCCACAUUCCGGUCUAACAAUCGCUUGAUGCUAUUGAGUCCUUAAGAGAGGAGGUAUUAUGUUUUAUCAGGCAUAAACAUUGUGCUCUGAGCACUUGGGAAAUGUGAUAGCCCUGCAGCAGAAGCACAAAGGUGAGGAUUUGGAGCUUUAAUUGCACAAUCAAUAGUUUAGAUUCAAGAGCCUCCAUAAAAGGAUGUCUGAUGAAAUAUUGCAGUUCAGAAAUAAGUUCCUGAAUCCAGUAUUGAUACUGCGAUAUUGCGUUUAUUACCGUACAGAACACAGAAAUCAUGUGGCCUGUUCCAGCAGCGCGAAGAAAUUUGGUUCAGUUCGCCUUUUGAUGCAAACCUACCUAGUUUCCAAAAUUCACCCUUCUCCUGAUUUUGCAAUGCAGUUCUCCAACCAGAAAAUAUGGACAGAUGCAUAUAUUUGGGGGAAAUGUGUGUAAAAAUGAAUAUUAGUGAAAACGGCAUGAGCCCAUUGCUGUACACACUGUUGUCCUGUUAUUUUGUCACUGUAGUUUUAUGAUUUGUAGUUUUAAAAAUAACACACAGGUCCUCUUUUUUUUAUUUUGGACAUUUGUAUCCUGGUCUUCAGCUAACAGGGCUCCCAAAGUGACUUCUAUAAAAUCAAUACCAACCAAUAAAAUGCUUAAAAGCAUGAUAGACACUCACUGAGGUAUAAAGAGAGAAGGAACAGUUAUGGAGGAAGGGGGUUGGCAAGUAGUUGGGGUUGGUGAAUGGAGCGAGCAAGGGGGGCAUAUAUUUCAUAUAUUUAUAUGUCACUUAAUGUCUCUGAACAGUUUGCAGAAAUAACAUAUGUAAUAAACUAUACAAUGCAAUACUUUUGCCAAAGCACAUCCUGACUCCCAGUAUACAACAGUCACCCCAGUACCAUAGACACAGUAUUCUGCCUUAUAUCUCUACUACAAAUUCUGCCUUAUAUCUCUACACAAAUAAUACAGCACCCACUACACAUCCCAUUCUCCUCUCACAGCUCGCAAGCACCCAUAAACACCACCCACCCCAUCGCUCCAGUGCCUCCCACUUCAUCCACAUCCCCAAACCCACCUUGUGGCCCCUUCUUGUGAGACGCACUCCUAAGACCAGGGGUCAGCAAACUUUUUCAGCAGGGAGCUGGUCCACUGUCCCUCAGACCUUGUGGGGGGCUGGACUAUAUUUUGAAAGACAAAAAUGAACGAAUUCCUAUGCCCCACAAAUAACCCAGAGAUGCAUUUUAAAUAAAAGCACACAUUCUACUCAUGUAAAAACACGCUGAUUCCCGGACCAUCUGCAAGCCAGUUUGAGAAGGCGAUCGGGUCAGAUCUGGCCUCCGGGCCUUCGUCUGCCUACCCAUGCCUAAGAUGCACUUGGCCACAGGCAGCAGGGAACCAUUUCUGCUGAGGUUGUGCUAAGUGGCACAAAGUCGCAGGGUGGAAAAAAAUCAGCCCCCAAAGUUCAGAAGUCAGAUGUUGAUUCAAAAUGCUCUAGCUAGCCAAACAAGCCCUGCAGCACCUGUCAAAACCUUUCCCUACGAGCUCAUAAUUUAAUGCCAGCUAUUUGGCCUGCUAAGCCGCAGAAAAAGCAACGCCGAGGCUACAGCUCUGGCUCCCUUGCGCACAAAAUACAGAGAGCUGCUUUUGAAGGAAACCGAAACUCCUGAUGGGCCCACUGAUUUCUCACUACAACCAUACUGGACCUUUCCCUGGCAUGAAAAUAAAGAAUAGGAAUAAAGUUGUUAUUUAUAACCCGUCCAUCUGACUAGGUUUCCCCAGACAAUCUGGGCAGCUUCCAGCACACAUAAAAACAUAAUAAAAGGUCAAACACUAAAAGCAGGGCUGCCUUCAGAUGUCUUCUAAAAGUCAGGUGGUUGUUUAUUUCCUUGACAUCUGAUGGGAGGGCGUUCCACAGGGCGGGUGCCACUACUGAAAAGGCCCUCUGCCUGGUUCCCUGUGACCUCACUUCUCGCGGGGAGGGAACUGCCAGAAGGCCCUCUGCGCUGGACCUCAGUGUCUGGGCUAGAUGAUGGGGGUGGAAAUGCACCAUCUCCACCCCCCCCAAUAAAAAGUGCCUGUUUUUCUCUUUCAGGCAUCACUUGCACUCCUCGGAGGAAAGGUGGAAUGUAAAUGAAAUACAUAAUACAUACAAGGGAACAGUUGUGAAGCACUUAGGAAGGUUCUGGUUAGUGGUAUCACCUUUUUAUACCUUUUUUUAAAGGAAGCUGGCAUCCCACUUUAUUACAAGACCUUGGAAAGGAAGAAAUAAAAUAUCA